UGGGGAAUAUUGGACAAUGGGCGCAAGCCUGAUCCAGCCAUGCCGCGUGAGUGAUGAAGGCCCUAGGGUUGUAAAGCUCUUUCACCGGUGAAGAUAAUGACGGUAACCGGAGAAGAAGCCCCGGCUAACUUCGUGCCAGCAGCCGCGGUAAUACGAAGGGGGCUAGCGUUGUUCGGAUUUACUGGGCGUAAAGCGCACGUAGGCGGACUUUUAAGUCAGGGGUGAAAUCCCGGGGCUCAACCCCGGAACUGCCUUUGAUACUGGAAGUCUUGAGUAUGGUAGAGGUGAGUGGAAUUCCGAGUGUAGAGGUGAAAUUCGUAGAUAUUCGGAGGAACACCAGUGGCGAAGGCGGCUCACUGGACCAUUACUGACGCUGAGUUGCGAAAGCGUGGGGAGCAAACAGG
rnacentral:rRNA from 1 species